CUUUAAAAAUCUGGAUCAAGCUGAAAAUUGAAACGACACACAGCUCAUGUGUGUUCGAGUCUCUCAAAUUUUCGCAAUCAGAAGUGAAACAUCUUCGG
rnacentral:sRNA from 2 species